CCUACGGGAGGCAGCGGUGGGGAAUAUUGCACAAUGGGGGAAACCCUGAUGCAGCGACGCCGCGUGAGUGAAGAAGUAUUUCGGUAUGUAAAGCUCUAUCAGCAGGGAAGAAAAAAGACGGUACCUGACUAAGAAUCCCCGGCUAACUACGAGCCAGCAGCCGCGGUAAUACGUAGGGAUCAAGCGUUAUCCGGUUUUACGGGGUGUAAAGGGAGCGUGGACGGUAUGGCAAGUCUGAAGUGAAAGCCCAGGGCUUAACCCUGGGACUGCUUUGGAAACUGUUAGACUAGAGUGCUGGAGAGGUAAGUGGAAGGCCUAGUGUAGCGGUGAAAUGCGUAGAUAUUAGGAAGAACACCAGUGGCGAAGGCGGCUUACUGGAGAGUAACUGACGUUGAGGCUCGAAAGCGUGGGGAGCAAACAGGAUUAGAUACCCUAGUAGUC
rnacentral:rRNA from 1 species